CAUCUCGUGACUCCGUCGUUGUUUCAAAGGACGAUGCUGGCAGCCCUUCGUGUAUAAAUUGCGAGUAUGUGCUUGCCGAGAGUACGUGCAAUUUACCUUCAACAUAUUUUCAGGGUAGCCCAAACAAACCGUUAUGAGCUCAUCAUCUAGGGUAGCUUAGUGUCGGGAAAUGGAGGCCAAUUUAGGAGGCCGUCCUAACGAUCCAAAUAGAUGUAUUAGAGAUUGCAAGGUAUGGCCGAAAGGUGAAGAGCCACCCUAUUGCUAUUGCCAGAUGAGUUGUGUUCCCAACGUAUCUUGUGAUUACGAGACUUUUGGCCAGAUGUAUUGGUCUUGUAAGAAUAUCGAGGAAGUGCAAAAAGCAGGUGCAAUAUCAUAGUACGAUGGUGAUGAGAUGCACACACAUUGGUGUCAUUUCCAGGAGUGGAUUGACACGUGGAUCACUCGUCGUGAUCAGCAAUAUAUGGCGUGGUUGAAGAAGGUGGAUGAUGAUGUACGCAAGUGCGAGCACGAGAAAGCAUAACGGGCGGGAUGUGAUAAGGGUACUGGCCGUGAAUGAUGGAUGUUGUACUGGUCCAUUUCAUUCAGAUCAAUCCUGCUAUCAGAAUAAGUUAUGUUCAUUCCCGACCAAUAUGUUGCGUGUUUGUUUCAGAAGCCUCUUUUCGCUUCCUAUGUAUUAUUUUUUCUUCCGUGCUUAUCAUGUGUACUCGUGGUGUUAUGGAGGUUGUUCUCUUUUCUAAUAAAAUCGUGAAUCAUCCGGCA